GGGUCGUUGGCUCAGUUGGUAGAGCAGUUGACUUUUAAUCAAUUGGUCGCAGGUUCGAAUCCUGCACGACCCACCA
rnacentral:tRNA from 7 species